GCGUCUAGCAGGCUUGUCCGGGUUGCGUCUCGAUCGUCCGGUCGCUCMUCCUUUCGGAGGUGGCGUCGGUUGGUCGGACCAUAUCUCGGGCAGUGUUGGGACGACGCWUGAGARCUCCCUGCUUCUCGCAGCGAACUGCAUUGGUCCGUCCCUUUCUUUUGAUCGCUCGCCUCGAUUCCCCUAGGGUCGGUCGCGAGUGAUGGGUGGGUUCCUGUGCUUGAUACCGGAUUUCGGUUAUCGGAUUCAAUGUUGUCCACGUCUUGGUUUCCCUUGUUCCUCCUCCGCCUCCUGUGCGUUGGUGGUUGUCGCGCGGGCAUCGAUGCUUUCCGUCCGGGCGGUCGUCCACCUCUGGGCGCUUCCGCUCGAGUCGGCGCGUCGAUGCCGUCCGCGUGCUCUUGGGUACGGAGAUAUCUCUUGUUAUCGCGCGGCCCUCUUUCGGCCGUUGCGAUCACGACGUGUCGAAGCUUCUUUGCUUCCUCUCGGGUGACCCUCGUGCUUUCCUUGGCCCUCACGGAGACUCUCCUCUCCGCGUUCGUCCUCGGGAGGCAUCGAGGCCAGCCAGUAGUCUAKUCUUGUCUCUCGGGUGAMCCUCGUGCUUUCCUUGGCCCUCACGGAGACUCUCCUCUCCGCGUUCSUCCUCKGGAGGCAUCGAGGYGUACAAUGGAAUGCUACCUGGUUGAUCCUGCCAGUAGU
rnacentral:misc_RNA from 1 species